CAUCAAAUGUCCAUCUGAUCACUCAUGGGACUCACCCUACUCACAUGGAAUACCCAAACUAGAAAGACUACUGACAUCUUACUCUGGAGGAAAAGUCCAGACUCCACCAAGGACAGAGCAUCAGCAUUAAUCCUCUUGACAAUGUGAUUAAAUAGGCUGACCCAUGCAUACCAGUGGACACACAGUAAGAACAGAAUAAAUGUAAACUAUUAUUUAAAAUAGAACUUAAAUUUUUGUGGCAUAAUAAAAUCAUCAAAUGGCCAUUUCUGUACCAUUUCUCCUUAGCACUGUGAUAUCAUAAAAGACCCUUGAAGGAUGAGGUGGAGGCAGGAGGAUCAGAAGUUCAAGGUUGUUCUCACAUAGGUAAUGUAUAAAUACCUAUGCCUGGGAUAAAUGCCUGGGAUAAAUACAUUUUCUCAGGAAAAAAGUACCAUUCAC
rnacentral:lncRNA from 1 species